CUAGCGUUUGCUCGGGAAUCACUGGGGCGUAAAAGGGGUGCGUUAGGGCGGGGUCUUUUAAGUUCAGGGGGGGGUGAAAAUCCCUUGGGGAGCUCAAACUCCCAGAAACUGCCCCCUUUGAUACUUGAAAGGGGUCUUUGAGUUUCGGGGGAGAGGGUGAGUUGGGGAAACUGCGAGUUGUAGAGGGGUUGAAAAUUUCGUUAGAUAUUUUCGCAAAGAAACACCCCAGUUGGG
rnacentral:rRNA from 1 species